rnacentral:rRNA from 1 species
UGGCAGACUCCUACGGGAGGCAGCAGUGGGGAAUAUUGCACAAUGGGCGCAAGCCUGAGGCAGCCAUGCCGCGUGUAUGAAGAAGGCCUUCGGGUUGUAAAGUACUUUCAGUCGGGAGGAAGGUGGUAAGGUUAAUAACCUUAUCAAUUGACGUUACCGACAGAAGAAACACCGGCUAACUCCGUGCCAGCAGCCGCGGUAAUACGGAGGGUGCAAGCGUUAAUCGGAAUUACUGGGCGUAAAGCGCACGCAGGCUGUCUGUCAAGUCGGAUGUGAAAUCCCCGGGCUCAACCUGGGAACUGCAUUCGAAACUGGCAGGCUGGAGUCCUGUAGAGGGGGGUAGAAUUCCAGGUGUAGCGGUGAAAUGCGUAGAGAUCUGGAGGAAUACCGGUGGCGAAGGCGGCCCCCUGGACAAAGACUGACGCUCAGGUGCGAAAGCGUGGGGAUCAAACAGGAUUAGAUACCCGCGUAC